AGCGAACGCUGGCGGCAGGCCUAAUACAUGCAAGUCGAGCGGUUCCUUCGGGAACAGCGGCGGACGGGUGAGUAACGCGUGGGAACGUGCCCUUUGGUACGGAACAACUGAGGGAAACUUCAGCUAAUACCGUAUGUGCCCUUCGGGGAAAGAUUUAUCGCCAUUGGAGUGGCCCGCGUUAGAUUAGCUAGUUGGUGGGG
rnacentral:rRNA from 1 species